UACGGAGGGUGCAAGCGUUAUCCGGAUUCACUGGGUUUAAAGGGUGCGUAGGCGGGUAUAUAAGUCAGUGGUGAAAGCUCCGGGCUUAACUUGGAAACUGCCAUUGAUACUGUAUAUCUUGAAUGUCGUUGAGGUUAGCGGAAUGUUGUAUGUAGCGGUGAAAUGCUUAGAUAUGUUACAGAACACCAAUUGUGAAGACAGCUAACUAAGCGAUGAUUGACGCUGAGGCACGAAAGCGUGGGGAGCAAACAGG
rnacentral:rRNA from 1 species